rnacentral:lncRNA from 1 species
GUACCGGUUCUCUUUCAUGGAGCUUUGUUUUUUUUACUCUUCACAAUUAAUCUUACUGCUGCUCAUUUUUUGGGCCCUCGCCACCUUUAAGAGCUGUAACACUCACCUGAAGGUCUGCGGCUUCAUUCUUGAAGUCAGCCAGACCAUGAACCCACCAGAAGGAACAAAUUCUGGACACGGUGCAGGCCUGCAAUCCUAGCUAGUUGAGAAGCUGAGGUACAACAUGGAAUCUUACUGCUUUGUGUUUAGUAUUUCCACAUAAAGACAAGAUUGGUCCAAGAAGAACACUAAACAAAAAGAAGCUAAUGCACUCCUAAUACUUAGAGCAGAGCUGGAUUGCCUCCACAGGACUUUCACCAGGAGACCAGGGUCAGUGUCCACACUCCUCUUAUCUUCAUGGUCUCCCUAGAGAGAGGUAAAAAGAGAAACAGACAUUUAAUAAAUCCUUGCUACAUAUCAGGACGUGUGUGUAUCUCUUUAUCUGUAUUAUCUCUUCUAACUCUUAAGACAAUCUUGAGGGUAGAAAUAUUAUUUUAAUAAAUCAAGAAAGCGAGGAUAAGAGAGGUAAUCUUUCAAAAGGCACACAGGAGUUGAGCAUUGGUAUGGUGGAUUCCAGAGCCCAAGCUCUC